rnacentral:tRNA from 1 species
GGAUUGUGGCUCAGUGGUAGAGCGCUUGCCUAGCACGUGUGGGGCACUGGGUUCAAACCUCAGCACCA